UCAAGAAACUUCCACAAUGGGCGAAAGCCUGAUGGAGCGACGUCGCGUGACGGACGAAGUGCUUCGGCACGUAAACAUCUUUUAUGUGGGAUGAAAUUAUUGACAGUACCACAUGAAUAAGGGGCUCCUAACUCUGUGCCAGCAGGAGCGGUAAUACAGAGGCCCCAAGCGUUAUCCGGAAUCACUGGGCGUAAAGGGUGUCGAGGCGGUUGUAUUAGUCGUUCGUAAAAUCUACGAGCUUAACUUGUAGGCGGCGAACGAAACGGUACGACUUGAGGUUUGGAGAGGUGCGUGGAACUCACGGUGUAGGAGUGAAAUCCGUUGAUAUCGUGGGGAACACCAAAGGCGAAGGCAGCGCACUGGCCAAAAUCUGACGCUCACACACGAAAGCUAGGGUAGCGAAGAGGAUUAGAUACCCCCGUAGUCCCUGAGCGGGCUGGCAAGGCGCAU
rnacentral:rRNA from 1 species